rnacentral:rRNA from 1 species
UUGAUGUUCUAACGUGGACCCGUUACCCGGGUUGCGGACAGUGUCUGGUGGGUAGUUUGACUGGGGCGGUCUCCUCCUAAAGAGUAACGGAGGAGCACGAAGGUUGGCUAAUCCUGGUCGGACAUCAGGAGGUUAGUGCAAUGGCAUAAGCCAGCUUGACUGCGAGCGUGACGGCGCGAGCAGGUGCGAAAGCAGGUCAUAGUGAUCCGGUGGUUCUGAAUGGAAGGGCCAUCGCUCAACGGAUAAAAGGUACUCCGGGGAUAACAGGCUGAUACCGCCCAAGAGUUCAUAUCGACGGCGGUGUUUGGCACCUCGAUGUCGGCUCAUCACAUCCUGGGGCUGAAGUAGGUCCCAAGGGUAUGGCUGUUCGCCAUUUAAAGUGGUACGCGAGCUGGGUUUAGAACGUCGUGAGACAGUUCGGUCCCUAUCUGCCGUGGGCGCUGGAGAACUGAGGGGGGCUGCUCCUAGUACGAGAGGACCGGAGUGGACGCAUCACUGGUGUUCGGGUUGUCAUGCCAAUGGCACUGCCCGGUAGCUAAAUGCGGAAGAGAUAAGUGCUGAAAGCAUCUAAGCACGAAACUUGCCCCGAG